UGUAUAUCCAUGCCAAAUAGACACAGAGCUGGAAGGGGCGUGAUUUGAAAUGCUCUGGGUUGGUUACAGAUGGAGUUUUGCUCUUUUUGCCCAGGCUGGAGUUCAGUGGCACGAUCUUGGCUCACUGCAACCUCUGCUUCCCGGAUUCAAGUGAUUCUCCUGCCUCAGCCUCUCGUGUAGCUGGGAUUACAGGUGUGUGCCACCACGCCCGGCUAAUUUUGUAUUUUUAGUAGAGACGGGGUUUCACCAUGUUGGCCAGGGUGGUCUCGAAAUCCCAACCUCAGGUGAUCUGACUGCCUCAGCCUCCCAAAGUGCUGGGAUUACAGGCGUGAGCCACUAUGCCCGGCGGAAGAGGAUGAUUUCUAAUGAUCCGUCGUGGAAGAGUGAGGUUUGGUGCUGCCAUGAUGAGGUAUAUCACGCAGAAAAGGGAAUCAGUUAUGUGAAGAAUGGAAAGGAGCCUAUGUGUCAUGCAAGCCGAGCUCAGAAGGCAGUUAUGAUUGGGAACCAAGGUCCAGGAGAUCUGGACACAAACCUGGGAUGUACAGAUACCACCACACUAUGCAAAGAAAGAACAAGAAAGCAGAGAAAUGAAUGCAGGAUUCAAUAAGAGAUGGUCUAGGGAGUAGGAAGAGAUCAGCAGACAGUGUUAUAGCACGUAGAAGUUAAGUGCUUCAAGAAUUAGGUAAUGUCCAUGUCAAACACUGCAGAAUGGUCACGUAUGGAUGAGGAUGGAUUUAGCAUUUAAGUGUUCAAGAUGACUUUAGUGAAAUGAGUUUCAGAAGCAUUGGGGAUGAGGGCCAUGUAUUAAUGGGUUAAGGAGAGUAUGGUAGGCAGAAUACGCCCCACCCCUCAAAGAUGUGCCUGCCCUAAUCCUUGGAGCCUGUGAAUAUGUUAUCUUACACAGCAAAAGAGGCUGCACAGUUGCGACUAAGGGCACAGAUUUUGACAUGGGGAGACUAUCCUGGGUUAUCUGGGUGGGCCCAAUUUAAUCACAAGAGUCUUUGUAAGUCAAAGAGCCAGCAGAAAGAGUGUCAGAGAGAUAUGAUAUUGGAGAUGGAGGAAGAGGGCCAUAGGCCAAGGAAAUGUGGUGGCCUCUAGAUGCAGAGAACAGUUCUCAGUUUAUAGGCAGGAAGAAAAUAGAGACUUCAGUCCUACCAGUGCAGGGAAUUCUGCUAACCACCUGAAUGAGUAGGAAGUACAGUCUCUUCUGGGACCUUCAGAAUGGAGCGCGGCCUGUCAACACCUAGACGUUAGUUGGCUGCGAUGCAUACCAGACUUCUGAUCUACAGAACUGUAAGAUAAUAAACUUGUAUUUAUUUUAAA